rnacentral:rRNA from 1 species
UACGUAGGGUGCGAGCGUUAAUCGGAAUUACUGGGCGUAAAGCGUGCGCAGGCGGUUUUUCAAGUCAGAUGUGAAAUCCCCGGGCUCAACCUGGGAACUGCAUUUGUGACUGCAUGGCUAGAGUACGGUAGAGGGGGAUGGAAUUCCGCGUGUAGCAGUGAAAUGCGUAGAUAUGCGGAGGAACACCGAUGGCGAAGGCAAUCCCCUGGACCUGUACUGACGCUCAUGCACGAAAGCGUGGGGAGCAAACAGG